CUCCGGGGGCGGCGAUCCUCCCUCCGGAGCCCCCCGCAACCCUCCCGGAAGUGGGCAUUUGCAGGACCAGGGAUGCUGCACUGCUCUCCCAUGAGCCAGUCACCAAGUCUGUCUGCUGCAAGCCCUUUCUGAACCUCUGGCUGUCUGGAUGCUCCACUGUGCUCCUUGCCAAGAUGAAGUGCGUCUUGGUGGCCACUGAGGGUGCAGAGGUCCUCUUCUACUGGACAGAUGAGGAGUUUGAAGAGAGUCUUCGGCUGAAGUUCAGGCAGUCAGAGAAUGAGGAAGAGCUCCCUGCCCUGGAGGACCAGCUCAGCACGCUCCUAGCCCCGGUCAUCAUCUCCUCCAUGACGAUGCUGGAGAAGCUGUCGGACACCUACACCUGCUUCUCCACGGAAAACGGCAACUUCCUGUAUGUCCUUCACCUGGCUGCGGCCCCCAGACCUGGGGCAGCGUGUCCAGCUGUGGGAGCACUUCCAGAGCCUGCUGUGGACCUACAGCCGCCUGCGGGAGCAGGAGCAGUGCUUCGCCGUGGAGGCCCUGGAGCGACUGAUUCACCCCCAGCUCUGUGAGCUGUGCAUAGAGGCACUGGAGCGGCACGUCAUCCAAGCUGUCAACACCAGCCCCGAGCGGGGCGGCGAGGAGGCCCUGCAUGCCUUCCUGCUUGUGCACUCCAAGCUGCUGGCAUUCUACUCUAGCCACAGUGCCAGCUCCCUGCGCCCGGCCGACCUGCUCGCCCUCAUCCUCCUGGUUCAGGACCUCUACCCUAGCGAGAGCACAGCAGAGGACGACAUUCAG
rnacentral:sRNA from 1 species